rnacentral:misc_RNA from 1 species
GAAAUGCGAUAAGUAGUGUGAAUUGCAGAAUUCAGUGAAUCAUCGAAUCUUUGAACGCACAUUGCGCCUCCUGGUAUUCCGGGAGGCAUGCCUGUCCGAGCGUCAUGCAAAAACAUAGACCUUGCCCAGUGAUUUUCUGGGUCUAGGUUUGCUUUUGAGGGAUGAGCCAUGGGGCUGGUGGGUAGUACCUAUCUACUGGCUCUUGGCUCCCCCUAGAAUUCCAGAGGCGAACUGAAAUGAAAAAAACACCGCGGGUGGUAGUAGGUAGUAUUAAAGAAAUUUUCUCGCCCAUCGCUGCUUACGGUUUUUUCAUUUACGCUUCCGCCGAUCAAACCAAAUAUCCAUCUUUUUUUGACCUCGGAUCAGGUAGGGAUACCCGCUGAACUUAA